UUAACACAAAGUAUGGAAUUGGAUCGUUUGCUUACGUUUACCACUAGGGGCGCUGUUCCAACUGCAUAUAAAUUUGAGUUA
rnacentral:pre_miRNA from 1 species